UGCGUAGACGGCGUAGUUAGUCUGCUGUUAAAUCCUCCGGCUUAACCGGAGACCAGCGGUGGAUACUACUAUGCUAGAGGAUGGAAGAGAGAAGUGGAAUUCUCGGAGUAGCGAUAAAAUGCAUGGAUCUCGAGAGGAACACCAAUGGCGAAGGCAGCUUCUUGGUCCAUUCCUGACGUUGAGGCACGAAAGCGUGGGGAGCAAACA
rnacentral:rRNA from 1 species